UCUACCCCAACCACUGGGUUAUGAAAUGGUUUACCCAUUAUGGGUUAUUUAUAUCAAUAUUUGGGUUAUAUUUAUAUAUUUGGGUUAUUUUGUGCAACUCAUGCGUUGAGUUAAAAUCCAUCAACCCAACAUACAUCGGUUGACCCAGCACGUGGGUUGUUUGUGCUUCGAACGUCAUCACAUCUUCACGAGAGUCAAGAGUCCACACACCAAGUGCUCGUCACAGAAGAAAACCUGACUGAUCAUCCAGCGAGGCAAAUGAAUAAUAAAAGAUCUAUGGACAGCUUUGUCAUUAACACUUUGACAAGAGUGGCAGCUGACAGACCUUGUCGACAAAUUUAAAGAUUGUACAGGGCAGUCUUGUCCUGCAAGGGGAUGCUGCAUCAAAAUUGUUUGAAACUUGGCUACCCAUUUAAGCUGAGAAGAUCCUGUGCCUGGCAAGACAGGAGGGGAAGCUGACAUUGCCCCUGGAUGGAUUAACACCAGAUGGUGUUGGGGAUCUCGCCCUGAGGCAGCUGCCAGCCUUGCUUCCACCUACAACUUACAAAGUUGGUCGUGGCCGCGGUGUGAAAGUGGUUCGCCACACCAUUCAGGAAUGCAGCUUGGCCUUCAUCGACCAUAAGCCUGCAAGUCCUCGAAGCACAUCUAAAGGGGAAACUCUAUUUUAUCAACAUAUCUGAGCUUAAGAAUGUGUGCAAGCACACUUGCAUAUCCAGGUUUGUUUUACUAUACUUUUGUGGACAGGCAUCAAAUAUAGCCUGACAGUAUUCUGAAAAUAGCCGUUCUACAUGCUUACAACACAAGCAUCCUGUGCUUCUAGAACACCUCAGCAGUGCCACAGGCCAAUAAUUACCUCUGUACCACACCACACUAAUGCAGUAAUUUGUUCUAAAACAGGCACCAACAAAGGUAUUGAGUGCAGAAAUCAACAUAUUUAUCAGAAGGUUGACACUUUUGUAUUUUAACUAGAGGUGCUCCGAUUGAUCGGUCGCCGAUCAUAAUCGGCCGAUAAUCACUUUGGGAAGUAUGAUCGGCGGUCUCUAAAAGGCCGAUCCAGAAAAGCCGAUCAGAUGACGCAAAAUUGACGAAACAUUUAUUUUACGCGAUAUGAAAAUGGCUUCACUGGUCAGGCAAUUCUACAAGGUGUGUGAAAUUGACAAUGCUUUAUCAAUCUGAUGCGUGUGUACUAUGUGAAUUCCACGAUGCGAGAAGCACCCAAAACAUUUUUACACCAACAACCUCUUUAGACGUUUGAGGGUUAGUCACAUAAAGGAGUGCAAGUAGUUUUCAAAGUUAGCCUCGCGCAAAGUGAGCGGGCAGUUCAGCAGCUCGAGCGCCACUCGGCUGCAGAGAUCGCGUCAACCGAAGAUUCAUUUGUUCUACCAGUGAUAGAAAUAUCUGAUGGCAAUCGUCAUUUUGACGCACUACAAUAAAGGCGAUUUGUAAUUCCCCUUUUUAUCAUUUCGUGUCAUUAGAACGUGAUCGUGAAGAACGUGAUCGUGAGCGGAAGGAGGUAGACUAUCGCGAAGGGACGUGUGUUUCUAUUCAUGAUCUUACUCUCAAAUGUCUAUUCAGUUUUGCUAAACGCGCAUGUGGUCAACAGAGACUCGAGAUGCAUAUAUGCAUCCAUCACUCCCCGCAUACACACAGGCGCGAUGUGGUGCCGUCUUUACAGAGUUUUUACAUCAUAAAAUAGCGUCUUUUUGUAUUAAUAAUAGCUUUCAGGGAGUGGAAAAAUAUCUCUAACUGCGUUUUCUCUGUUCAGUGAAGCAGCACAUAUAUGUGAAGCCGGACAACAAAAGUCUUAUGGGUACAUUUUUGGAAAAUAAGAUUUUACAUAAUUUACACAUAAAGGUGAAUAAUUAAGCUUUCUAUUGAUGUAUAAGUUGUCAUGAUAUGAUCAUAUCUGGCGGAGAUAUACCCGUUUACAACUCUUGAAUCUGAGGGUGCAAAAUAUUCAAAAUAUUGAGAAAAUUGCCUUUGAAGUUGUUAAUAAAAGGCCGUUAAUGGCCAUCCACUAACAAAAAGUAAAGUUUUGAUAUAUUUAGUAUAUUGAAUUUACAAAAUAUCUUCAUGGAACAUGAGAAAAUUCGAUCAUUUUGACCCAUACAAUGUAUUUUUGACUAUAACUAAAAAUAUUCCCGUGCUCCUUAAGGUUUCGUGAUCCAGGGUCACAUAUGACCAAACCACAGCUUUCUUGUGAGUACAAAACACCUUUUACAGGCACCUGUCAUUGUUAUUGUAUGGACAUAACAAACAUUUGCUUGUAAUUAGAUUAUUUUAUGUCCGACAACAGAAACAUUGAAAAUAUAUGAAAAGUCUAAGUCUAGCGCAACCUCUCCUCAGCUGACAGUAACAGAGACAUUUUUUAAAGCAUCAACCCUACUGCAAGGACAGUAAGAAGCAUAAAGAAAUAUCAUAUUAUCAGAUAAAAUAAUGUAAUAAAUUUGCUUUGAUCAUGGCCACUUUAUACUGUGGAAGACAAAGGGUUUCUGGGACUCAUGUCGCAUGCUACUAUGUUUUAUGAAAAUAUGUGGUAACACUUUCCUUGAAGCAUGUAUGUUUAAUUUAUUGUAAAAGUAGUUUUCAAGCAGUGUAAUGCACAUUUUAAUGCAUUGUAAUAUCUAAUAGAUAGUGUUGUAAUGUAUUAACUGUAAUAACAACUAAGCAAUUCAUUGUAACACGACACAUUUUAAAUUGGUUAUAAUUAUUUACAACUACAUAUAAUGCAUUACAACACACAUUAUGAAUAUUAAUAAUGCAUUUUACCCUUUAAUAAUUCUUUAUAAUGCAUUAUACAUAAAUGCUUCAAGGAAAGUGUUACCAAAUAUGUUACUUACUAAUAUUCAUUAGUUAAUUCAUGACACUUUCUCUUCUGGUACUGAGAAAGCUUCAAAUAGCAUCUAUAAUCGGUGAUCGGCCGAUACAGCUUUCAGUGAUCGAGGAUCGGUGAUCGGCUCAAAAAACCCUGAUCGGAGCACCCCUAAUUUUUAACCCAUUUGGACCUGACUCUGUGAGGUUGACUCUGUAGAUUUAGAAGACUUCUUUAAAGCAUUUGCGGCCCACCUAUCUGACCACCUAACUCGGCUGCCUAUCGGCCAGAUAGGAGAGUCAGAUUUUCUGAUCAUGUUUAUUGUAAUGAUAGAUCAUCAGUAGAUUUAUGCCGUUUUAGGUCAAUUGAGAACAUAUGAUACAGUUCAACGUUUUGAAUUAGAGAUGCACUGAAUCUUUUCCAAAUUGUCAAGCUAACUAGACUUUAUAAUAAAACAAUAAUUUCUGUAGUGAGGACCAGGAAAAUGGUCCUCACAAUAUCUAUAUUUGAAUUCUUCUAUAGUAGUCUGUAGACAUUUCGUCCUUACUCACUCGCACUUGCUCUCUUAUAUUCUUUCUUUUCUAGCCUGGAAUGAACAUGGUGGAGUACCUCCAUGAGGCCAAGGCAUGCAAACCAUACCCCAACAUGCUGACGCUGGGAAAUGAUCAGAGUGCAUUUCAGAAUUUUUUUUUCAAGACUGUUGGCAUGUUGAAUGUUCAGCCAGUUCAUUCAUAAUUGUUGUUUUGCUAUGAAUGUUUUCCUACCUAGUGAU